UCCUGACUGGCUCAGUCAGUUAAGCAUCUGACUCUUGAUCUCGGCUCAGGUCAUGAUCUCAGUUUCAUGGGUUCAAGCCCCAUGUCAGGCU
rnacentral:tRNA from 1 species